UGGGGAAUCUUGGACAAUGGGCGCAAGCCUGAUCCAGCCAUGCCGCGUGAGUGAUGAAGGCCCUAGGGUUGUAAAGCUCUUUCACCGGUGAAGAUAAUGACGGUAACCGGAGAAGAAGCCCCGGCUAACUUCGUGCCAGCAGCCGCGGUAAUACGAAGGGGGCUAGCGUUGUUCGGAUUUACUGGGCGUAAAGCGCACGUAGGCGGACUUUUAAGUCAGGGGUGAAAUCCCGGGGCUCAACCCCGGAACUGCCUUUGAUACUGGAAGUCUUGAGUAUGGUAGAGGUGAGUGGAAUUCCGAGUGUAGAGGUGAAAUUCGUAGAUAUUCGGAGGAAAACCAGUGGGGAAGGCGGCUCACUGGACCAUUACUGACGCUGAGGUGCGAAAGCGUGGGGUGCAAACAGG
rnacentral:rRNA from 1 species